rnacentral:rRNA from 1 species
GUAGUCCACGCCGUAAACGAUGGAUACUAGCUGUUCGGGGCAACCUGAGUGGCUAAGCGAAAGUGAUAAGUAUCCCACCUGGGGAGUACGUUCGCAAGAAUGAAACUCAAAGGAAUUGACGGGGGCCCGCACAAGCGGUGGAGCAUGUGGUUUAAUUCGAUGAUACGCGAGGAACCUUACCAGGGCUUAAAUGUAGGCCGACAGGUCCGGAAACGGACUUUUCUUCGGACGGCUUACAAGGUGCUGCAUGGUUGUCGUCAGCUCGUGCCGUGAGGUGUCAGGUUAAGUCCUAUAACGAGCGCAACCCCUGUCGCUAGUUGCCAGCGAGUAAUGUCGGGAACUCUAGCGAGACUGCCAGUGCAAACUGCGA